rnacentral:rRNA from 1 species
UACGGAGGGAGCUAGCGUUGUUCGGAAUUACUGGGCGUAAAGCGCACGUAGGCGGCUUUGUAAGUUAGAGGUGAAAGCCCGGAGCUCAACUCCGGAAUUGCCUUUAAGACUGCAUCGCUUGAAUCCGGGAGAGGUGAGUGGAACUGCGAGUGUAGAGGUGAAAUUCGUAGAUAUUCGCAAGAACACCAGUGGCGAAGGCGGCUCACUGGCCCGGUACUGACGCUGAGGUGCGAAAGCGUGGGGAGCAAACAGG